GCAGAGCUACGGCCAUGCCCGUAGGUGCGAUUGAGCCGGGGAACGCCCCACAGGUGGGGCGAGCAACAUCGGC
rnacentral:ncRNA from 1 species